GCUGGGUGUGGUGGUGGACACCUGUAAUCCCAGCUACUCGGGAGGCUGAGGCAGGAGAAUUGCUUGAAUCCAGGAGGUGGAGUUCGCAGUGAGUGGCGAUCAUACCACUGCACUCCAGCCUGGGCAACAGAGCAAGACUCCGUCUCAA
rnacentral:SRP_RNA from 1 species